rnacentral:lncRNA from 1 species
UGAACCAUUUGUUGUAAAUGGGCAGCGACUUAAGCACUACCACAAUGUAGAGAAUAAGGAUUUAUGCACGAGUUGCAAAUUAGAAGAGUUGCCCGCUCUUUCGAAAGAUUAGCACCGUUCCAAAUUAAUGUCGAGCUCCCGACAUUAAACGAAGCGCUAUGUCGAAGACAACCCACGAUCUUUAGUCUUUAUCAUUUCUUUUUAGUUGUUU